GUGCUUGCUUUGGCAGCACACGUAGCUAAAACUGGAACACUACAGAGAGGAUUAGUGUGGCCCCUGUGCAAGGAUGACAUGCCAAUUCAUGAAGCCUUCCAUAUUUUU